rnacentral:tRNA from 1 species
GCCCCCUUGGCGGAAGCGGUAGACGCCGGGGACUUAAACUCCUCCGUCCUCGGGCGUGCGGGUUCGAGUCCCGCAGGGGGCA